AGCAGCCGCGGUAAUUCCAGCUCCAAUAGCGUAUAUUAAAGUUGUUGCAGUUAAAAAGCUCGUAGUUGAAUUUCGGGAUCAAGGAAUCGGUCAUGCCUCGGUAUGUACUGGUUUUAUUGGUUCUCACCUUCUAAAGAACCAUGAUGUCAUUCAUUUGAUGUUAUGGGGAAUUAGGACUGUUACCUUGAAAAAUUAGAGUGUUUAAAGCAGGCUUACGCUUGAAUACAUUAGCAUGGAAUAAUGAAAUAGGACAUCAGAUUCUAUUUUGUUGGUUUCUAGGAUCGAUGUAAUGAUUAAUAGGGAUAGUUGGGGGCAUUAGUAUUCAAUUGUCAGAGGUGAAAUUCUUGGAUUUAUUGAAGACUAACUACUGCGAAAGCAUUUGCCAAGGAUGUUUUCAUUAAUCAAAGAACGAAAGUUAGGGGAUCGAAGACGAUCAGAUACCGUCGUAGU
rnacentral:rRNA from 1 species